UGGGGAAUAUUGGACAAUGGGCGAAAGCCUGAUCCAGCCAUGCCGCGUGUGUGAAGAAGGUCUUCGGAUUGUAAAGCACUUUAAGUUGGGAGGAAGGGCAGUUACCUAAUACGUGAUUGUUUUGACGUUACCGACAGAAUAAGCACCGGCUAACUCUGUGCCAGCAGCCGCGGUAAUACAGAGGGUGCAAGCGUUAAUCGGAAUUACUGGGCGUAAAGCGCGCGUAGGUGGUUAGUUAAGUUGGAUGUGAAAUCCCCGGGCUUAACCUGGGAACUGCAUUCAAAACUGACUGACUAGAGUAUGGUAGAGGGUGGUGGAAUUUCCUGUGUAGCGGUGAAAUGCGUAGAUAUAGGAAGGAACACCAGUGGCGAAGGCGACCACCUGGACUGAUACUGACACUGAGGUGCGAAAGCGUGGGGAGCAAACAGGAUUAGAUACCGGUAGUCCCUGAGCGGGCUGGCAAGGCGCAU
rnacentral:rRNA from 1 species